ensembl:lncRNA
CUCUGAGAGGUGAAGCUGUGUGUGUGUGGGCCUCUCUGAGAGGUGAAGGUGAGUGUGUGUGGGUCUCUCUGAGAGGUGAAGGUGGGUGUGUGUGGGCCUCUCUGAGAGGUGAAGCUGGGUGUGUGUGUGUCUCUCUGAGAGGUGAAGCUGGGUGUGUGUGAGCCUCUCUGAGAGGUGAAGGUGAGUGUGUGUGGGCCUGUCUGAGAGGUGGAGCUGGGUGUGUGUGCAUCUCUGAGAGGUGAAGCUGGGUGUGUGUGGGCCUCUCUGAGAGGUGAAGCUGGGUGUGUGGGUCUCUCUGAGAGGUGAAGCUGGGUGUGUGUGGGUCUCUCUGAGAGGUGAAGUCUGGGUGUGUGUGGGUCUCUCUGAGAGGUGAAGCUGGGUGUGUGUGCCUCUCUGAGAGGUGAAGCUGGGUGUGUGUGCGUCUCUCUGAGAGGUGAAUCUGGGUGUGUGUGCGUCUCUCUGAGAGGUGAAUCUGGGUGUGUGUGCGUCUCUCUGAGAGGUGAAGCUGGGUGUGUGUGCGUCUCUCUGAUCAUCUGCUCAGUCAGUGUUCCCUCAAAAAGCCUUUUUACAAUCCGUAUCGAUCCACCCCAUUUUACCAUUCAUACCAGCAACCUCCAGGGUCAUUAGGAAAGG